CAAUCUUGACAGAAGUUCUGAAGUGGCAACCAAAACACACUUCCUCCUCGACAGAUGACGCAUCCUGUCAUUUCUUUAGGAAAGUGAUUUAAUCGUUUCAAUGAAAUGCUCUUUGAAACAAAAUGAAACAUGAGCAGUUUGUGCACUUUCUACCUGCUUCUAGGCUUCUUCCACUCCCGAGUUUUGGUGAUGACAGGAUACAGGGAAAGGACAUCAAAAGCUACACUCGGGCUCUCUGUGAGAAGUGUUUCAGAAAUGUAUUUCUAAAGGGAAACGACCUGACGUUGGGAAUUUUCUCGCACUUGUUCCGUGCUGACCCAGGAAGAACUAUGAAUUGCAGACAAUAGUACUAACCACUGCGGAGUUGCUGAGUGGAUUAAAUGAACAGAUAUGUGUAAAGCUGGUGGAAAAGUGCCUGGCAAAAAAUGUUGGUGGCUAUUUGUGAAGAAGGAUACACUGAAGAUGACAACGAUGUCUAGAUUUUAAGAACUGUUGAGAUCAUCUGCUCCAAAUUGUUUACUGAUCAGGAAAUUAAAACAUAUUCAAAUUUUACUCUGUCAGGGCACUGCGGGAUGACUGCACAAUAUAAAAUAUACU